rnacentral:lncRNA from 1 species
UGGAGUGGAAGUGUUUCUCCUCACAGACUUCUCUUCCUUUUCCAGGAAGAUGAAACCUACCUUUUCCUCAGCAGACCAGACCUGUAUGGGGAAAUGCAGAGACCUCUUCUCUUGCCUAUAACCAGUUGCAGUCCUGUCCUGCUUUCUCCACUGCCCUGAUUUAUAUCUGAGUAAGGAAGAAGAGGAUCAACCUUCUUCAAAGCAAUUUUCUAGAUCAGUCCUGCAUGCAUAUGAUUUUUGAUCAUGUUCUCCUUGGGCUGAAUGAUUUGCUGGUGCUGUUGCCCGAGUCAAUAACUAAAGCAGCCUUUUGGACACCGGAACAGAGAAAGAAGAUAGGACGUGGCUGCUAGAGCUCUUGUUGAAGCAAUAUCCUUGGAGCCACCUGCCCAUUCCUGCAGGAGGUAUACUGUGUAAUGGAGUGGUGAUGCUAGAUACAAACAGGAAAGACUGUCCCUGUGAGGCUGCAAGAGUUUCCCUUUCUGGACACGUUUGGGCUUCAGUCUGUGCUGUGUUA